rnacentral:lncRNA from 1 species
CGGGUGAAGCUGGUGAACCUGGGCUUCGCCACGCUGCGGGAGCACGUCCCCAACGGCGCGGCCAACAAGAAGAUGAGCAAGGUGGAGACGCUCCGCUCCGCCGUCGAGUACAUCCGCGCCCUGCAGCAGCUGCUCGACGAGCAUGACGCCGUCAGCGCCGCCUUCCAGGCGGGCGUCCUCUCGCCCACCAUCUCGCCCAGCUACUCCCACGACNNNNNNNNNNNNNNNNNNNNNNNNNNNNNNNNNNNNNNNNNNNNNNNNNNNNNNNNNNNNNNNUCUCGCCCAGCUACUCCCACGACAUGAACUCCAUGGCGGGCUCCCCCGUCUCCUCCUACUCCUCCGAUGAGGGCUCCUACGACCCGCUCAGCCCCGAGGAGCAGGAGCUUCUCGACUUCACAAGCUGGUUCUGAGCGCCGGCCGCGCUCCCGCAGGACAGUUGCAAAAGGGAAAAAAACAACACACAAAAACCAAAAAAAAAAAACCACCACACAAAACCAGAUCACACACAGAGAGACAAAAAUCCACGCGGAAAAAGAACUUGUUGCGUUUCCAGCUCCCCUGCCGUCGGAGGGCGGUGCGGGCACGUCUCUCGGCGGGCGGGCACAGUCGGGGCGGCUCCGGAGACCGGCCGGCCUUUGCACUGCGGGGGGGGGGGGGGGCCGGCCGGCCUUUGCACUGCGCGGACUGCGCCCCGGCGGAGCGGGUGUCCGGCGGGGGAGCCCGGGCCCCGGGGAAGGCGCUGCGCUCCUCGGCCGGCGGAGGAGCUCUUCUUCCUCUUCCUCCUCCUCAGCAGAAAGGCGGCCCGUCUCCGCACCUCGCCGCCGCCGCGGCCCUUCAGAGACUGGCGUUCAUCACCUGUGGACAAAGUUAGUUUCCCGAUGUCUGUGGAGAUGCUGAAGUUAAGCUAUGCUGUACUCAAAGAAGUCCCUGGAGCCCCAUCUACCCCCCAUCUCCCCGUGCCUCUCCCUCCCCUCGGUCCAAGCUUUUCCUCUCGUUUCCAUCAUAGAAUGCUUCCAAACUUUUUUUUUUGGUGAAUUUUUUUUUUAUGAUAAGAAAAUCUAUUUGUAUCUAUCCUAACCCGUUUGGGGAUAUAUUAAGCUAUUUUUGUACAUAAGAGAGAGAGAGAUUUAUAGAGGUUUUGUACAAAUGGUUUAAAAUCUGUAUAUCUUGAUACUUUUUUAAUAUGUAAUGCUUAUUACCUCUUCAUGUUUAGACUCGUAGUCAACGUUACCCUACAACUGCCAUUUUUGUAUGUGGUUUUGUAAAGGACUUGGAUUUACUCCAGAUGUACUUUAGCACCAAUGUGUCUUACUUUAUAGAAACUUUGUUAAUGUAUUAAUAAUGUCAUUAAACAAUGUUCAAAGUGAACAAAGUUUAUGCAGCUAUUGUCCAAACGCAAAACGGUAGCCAUUUGUUUUCAUAUACUAUUUUGGGGGGGGGCGGGGGGAGAAAGGGAAAAAAAAGAAAAAACAAACAAACAAAAACCCCACCACCACUGCCUUUUCUUACUGUUUUAUUACAAACUUACAAAGGUCCUGUAUAACCCUAUUUUAUACAAACUAGUUUCGUAAUAAAACUUUUUUAAAAUUAAAAUUAUUAACUGCCUACUGCAUGCAAUUUUUUUUUCUGCCAUUGACAAUGAUGAAUGUAAGGACAGAAUGUUAAUCGAUGUUAUACCAGAGCUAAGUUGCAUAAGUUUGUAUCUGAUGGAUGUAACAUAUAUAUCUUUAUCUAUCUCUAUAUAAAUAUGCAAAGAUCUAGCGCUAUCACCAUUGUUUUCUUGCCCUUCUGUGUUACAAAUGUGUAUCCAAAUCAAAAAGGCGAGGGGAUGAUUAAUGAUUGCAUUGUCCUUCCUGAAAUCACUGCACAUCACAGAAUUCCCCCCAAAGCCCAGGUCUUAUAAAAAGAGGGCGCUCCAUCCCGCCUUUCGGCGGUGUGACCCUGUCCUCCUCCGCGGCUCUGACCCAACGGGGCAGGAAAACACGGGGGAUGGCACAGCCGCCGCCACCCAAAACACGGGGCGCUGUGCUGCCUCUGCGAAGACAGCGGCUGGGUAAAUAAAACCUCCGCGGUGAAGACGGGAAGCGAGAGGAAUAGGGACAUAAAACUAAAUAAAUAAAUAAAGCAGUAGAAAUCGGUGGCAGCGGAGAGAUAUUGGUCUUUCCAAACUUCUUGUUCUGCCCAAAUAGCGUGAUCUGCCUGUAAAAGUACCCAAUUACCAAGACUCAAAAAGAAAUUGGACUCUUCCCCCCAUUCCCCGCUUUUAUUUUUUUUGGGGGGGGGGGGGGGGGGGGGUUUUUUUUUUUUUUUUUUUUUUUUUUUUUGGCUAGCCUGCUUGUUGUCAGUUAGCAAGGACGUGACCAGAAUUCGCCUUCUUUUCGCCUGGCUCCUACAUCAUUUGCAAAUUCAGUUUGCGUGCACCAAGCCAAGCGGAAAGCAAAGCUCAAAAUGCAUCUUGGAGAAAAAAAAAAAAAAAAAAAAAAAAAAAAAAAAAAAAAAAAAAAGGGGGGGGGGGGGGGGGGGGGGGGGGGGGGGGGGGGGGGGGGGGGGGGGGGGGGGGGGGGGGGGGGGGGAGUGGGGAGAGUAUGGAGAUAGAAAAAAAGCUAGUCCGCUCCGCUAAAAAAGUGCCGUCGAGUUGCGAAUUGCGAGGGAUGCGCUAUUUUUAAAAAAGAAGAGGGGAAAGCUUUGGUGGAGGAGUGGAGGAGCCCGGAAUUUUCCCUCUGUGUGUAUGCAACUCUAUAUAAAAAUAUAUAUAUAUGUAUCUGUGUGUGU